AUUGAACGCUGGCGGCAGGCCUAACACAUGCAAGUCGAGCGGAUGAAAGGAGCUUGCUCCUUGAUUCAGCGGCGGACGGGUGAGUAAUGCCUAGGAAUCUGCCUGGUAGUGGGGGAUAACGCUUCGAAAGGAGCGCUAAUACCGCAUACGUCCUACGGGAGAAAGUGGGGGAUCUUCGGACCUCACGCUAUCAGAUGAGCCUAGGUCGGAUUAGCUAGUAGGUGAGGUAAUGGCUCACCUAGGCGACGAUCCGUAACUGGUCUGAGAGGAUGAUCAGUCACACUGGAACUGAGACACGGUCCAGACUGCUACGGGAGGCAGCAGUGGGGAAUAUUGGACAAUGGGGGAAACCCUGAUCCAGCCAUGCCGCGUGUGUGAAGAAGGUCUUCGGAUUGUAAAGCACUUUAAGUUGGGAGGAAGGGCUGUAGGUUAAUACCUUGCAGUUUUGACGUUACCAACAGAAUAAGCACCGGCUAACUUCGUGCCAGCAGCCGCAGUAAAAC
rnacentral:rRNA from 1 species